rnacentral:rRNA from 1 species
GACGAACGCUGGCGGCGUGCCUAACACAUGCAAGUCGAGCGAGGAACUUCGGUUCCUAGCGGCGGACGGGUGAGUAACACGUGGGUAACCUGGCUCAUAGAGGGGGAUAGCCUUCCGAAAGGGAGAUUAAUACCGCAUAAGAAGUGAGAAUCGCAUGGUUCUAGCUUUAAAGGAGUAAUCCGCUAUGAGAUGGGCCCGCGGCGCAUUAACUAGUUGGUGAGGUAAAGGCUCACCAAGGCGACGAUGCGUAGCCGACCUGAGAGGGUGAUCGGCCACAUGGGAACUGAGGCACGGUCAAGACUCCUACGGGAGGCAGCAGUGGGGAAUAUUGCACAAUGGGCGAAAGCCUGAUGCAGCAACGCCGCGUGAGUGAUGAAGGCCUUCGGGUUGUAAAGCUCUGUCUUUGGGGACGAUAAUGACGGUGCCCAAGGAGGAAGCCACGGCUAACUACGUGCCAGCCGCCGCUGUAAUAC